rnacentral:lncRNA from 1 species
AUAAACUAGAUUUAAGAGGAGAACAAGUAUAAUUCCCUGUAUGAAGUGAGAGAUUGUUAUAAUAGACAGAAAGUACCUAAAAAGGAUCUCACAGGUCAGGUUAUCCACUUCGAAGUUCACUUAGCAAAGAUCUCUCCACGACAAUCACCAUAGCAAGGAGAGAACCAACUUUGUGUAAAAUCUCUAGUGGAGGGAAAAAAAAUACAUCUCAUGAGGCAACUCAUCUAGAGAACUCUGAUUCUUAUAGAACCUGCAUAUCACUCCUAGAGAGAAAUAUCCUUUUUAAUGAUAUUUAUACUCUCACCACCCUCCUGAUUACAUACCUUUUAACACUAUAAUCAUUUAUGUAGAAGAUGUAUCCUCUCCUCCAUUUAUACCUUCAAAAGAUCAAGUAGUGGGUGAGUUAAGGGAAGUGACGGUCCAAUACAAAACAUGUGUUGAGAGAGGAAGAGGUAGACGACCUAUAUUAAAACCUAACCCUAGACCUCCUUGAGAUUAGUGGGAGCCAAAUCUUAAAAAAAGAAACCUCAUUGUUGGUCUCUAAAGAGAAUUUAUGGACCAAUCUCAUAUAGGUAAGGGAAGGCAACUUCAGGACCAAGCAAGCAAAAGCCUUCCAAAGGAAAAUCUUAGUCUAUUGGGGAAGGGUCUACCUUAAGAAGUGACACUUCUUCCUAAGCUGGUACAAACAAACUUAAAAUAUAUGUAGUUCCUGCAAUAUAGUUCCAACUCCUUAAGAAUAGUGAGCUGGAACUGUUGUGGUUUGGGGGACUCCAUGAAAGUCUAGAGAUUCAAUAAAUUUAUAAGAACUUUUUCCGUGACUUACUGUUUUUCUUGAGAGGCUUUAGUGGAUGAAAUAUGCCUCUAAUCAUCUAGUUCCUCCUCUUUCACCAGGAGCUACAGGUUUGGCCCUUUUUUUUUUUUCUAGAAACAUCAUAUUGUAGAGGAAAUUAUCAAGUCCUGCAAAAACUUUAUUGAUAAGAGUAAAAGAAAACGGUAGAAAUGUUUUCUCCACCUUCUGAUAUGGGGACCCUGAAAAGGCAAAAAUAAUUUAGGCAAAGCAAAAAAAAACAGCUAAUACGUUAUAAACUUUUAAUUAUUUCACUUGUAUUCGCCAUAAAUUGCAAUUACUUUUUCCUAAAAUUAAGCCUCGAUUUAAUCAUCUUCGGCCGUUACUUUAUAUAUAUAAAAAUUCAAGUAGAGCCAAAAGUAACCUAAUUUAAUAUAUAUAUAUAUAUAUAUAUUGUAAUCAAGUAGCUAUUGUAACGUCUAAGAGAAGUGUUGAAUUCUAAACAAGUUGGGUAUUAGAUUUGGAAUAGUAAAUAGACUAGAUUUGUUUACUAGGAAAUUAUAAAAGAUCAUAUAUCAACAUAUCAAAAUCCAUUAAAAAUUAGUCAUGACGAUAAAUUUAGGAGAAAUAUGGCCAUAUGAAUUACCUUUUCUUGUAGUAGUAAAAAAUGACAAAAAUACAAAUAAUUUACAAAUACAAUUUCAAUUGUUGUAAUUAAAAUCAAUGACGAAUAAAUUAGAAAUCAUGACUUACUCUCUGCCUCAACGAUCGCAUUUUUGUCUGUACAUUGGUAGAUCUCUCCUAAAAGAAGUUAUUUUAAAAUUGCUUCGCAUACUCUAUCGUAGUGUAUGAUCAAGUGACUACCUUUAGGGACCUCAUGGUUUCUAAUACAUGGUAGUUGGUGGCACAAAUAUCCUUACAACUGAAACGACAUCACUUUGUCUUCAUAACCUUUCCAUAUUUGGAUAGAAGAAGAGCUCUUUUCGGGUCCAGAUGGAAACAAGUCAGGUAGGUCGGCCGGCUCAAAGUCCCAGUCGCCGAAGGCCACCAGAAAACCGCUUCUCACCAUCGCAAAGUAAGACAACAACUUAUAGAAUUAAUGAAAUAUAUCAAAAAAACUUUGAGAAUAUAGUAAUAUCUUACCAGACCUAGCCACUCCACCUCUCGCAGAAGUUCAAAGGAAAUCAUAAGAAACUACAACACUCCACAUAACACUUCACAACUCCUAAAAUAACCUCCUCCUUGCAAGGAAGAACUGUUAGCAAAUUUUCUUCCCAUGAAGUUACAACAAACCUGGAAAGGAAACUGGAUUUAAUAGGAGGAUAAGUAAAAUUCCCUGUAUGAAGCUAGAGAUUGUUAUAAUAGACGGGAAGUACCUAAAAUGGAUCUCACAGGUCAGGUUAUCCACCUCGGAGUUCACUUAGCAAAGAAAUCUCCACCCACAGUCACCAUAGCAAGGAGAGAACCAAAUUUGUGUAGAAUCUCUAGUGGAGGGAAAAAACUCCAUCUCAUGAGGCAACUCAUCUAGAGAACUCUGAUUCUUAUAGAACGUGCAUACCUCUCCUAGAGAGAAAUAUCCUUUUUAAUGAUAUUUAUACUCUCACCAGCCUCCUGAUUACAUACCUUUUAACACUAUAAUCAUUUAUGUAGAAGAUUUAUCCUCUCCUCCAUUUAUACCUUCAAAAGAUCAAGUAGUGGGUGAGUUAAGGGAAGUGACGGUCCAAUACAAAACAUGUGUUGAGAGAGGAAGAGGUAGACGCCCUAUAUUAAAACCUAACCCCUAGACCUCCUUGAGAUUAGUGGGAGCCAAAUCUUUAAAAAAAAGAAACCUCAUUGUUGGUCUCUAAAGAGAAUUUAUGGACCAAUAUCAUAUAGGUAAGGGAAGGCAACUUCAGGACCAAGCAAGCAAAAGCCUUCCAAAGGAAAAUCUUAGUCUAUUGGGGAAUAGUCUACCUUAAGAAGUGACACUUCUUCCUAAGCUGCUACAGACAAACAUAAAAUACCUUUAGUUACUGCAAUCUAGUUCCAACUCCUUAAGAAUAGUGCGCUGGAACUGUUGUGGUUUGGGGGACUCCAUAAAAGUUUAGAGAUUAAAUAAAUUCACAAGAAUUUUUUCCCUGACUUACUGUUUUUCUUGAGAGGCUUUAGUGGAUGAAAUAUGCCUCUAAUCAUCUAGUUCCUCCUCUUUCACCAGGAGCUACAGGUUUGGCCCUUUUUUUCUAGAAACAUCAUAUUGAAGAGGAAAUUAUCAAAUCCUGCAAAAACUUUAUUGAUAAGAGUAAAAGCAAAAGGUAGAAAUGUUUUCUCCACCUUCCAAUAUGGGGACCCUGAAAAGGCAAAAAUAAUUUAGACAAAGCCAAAAAAACAGCUAAUACGUUAUAAACUUUUAAUUAUUUCACUUGUAUUCGCCAUAAAUUGCAAUUGAUUUUUCCUAAAAUUAAGCCUCGAUUUAAUCAUCUUCGGCCGUUACUUUAUAUAUAUAAAAAAAUUCAAGUAGAGCCAAAGUGACCUAAUUCAAAAUAUAUUGUAAUCAAGUAGCUAUUGUAACGUCUAAGAGAAGCGUUGAAUUUCUAAACAAGUUGGGUAUUAGGUUUGGAAUAGUAAAUAUACUAGAUUUUUUUACUAGGAAAUUAUAAAAGAUCAUAUAUCAACAUAUCAAAAUCCAUUAAAAAUUAGUCAUGACGAUAAAUUUAGGAGAAAUAUGGCCAUAUGAAUUACCUUUUCUUGUAGUGGUAAAAAAUGACGAAAAUACAAAUAAUUUACAAAUACAAUUUCAAUUGUUGUAAUAAAAAUCAAUGAAUCAAGAAACAAUGACGAAUAAGUUAGAAAUCAUGACUUAUUCUCUAUCUGAACAAUCGCAUUUUGUUGUCUGUACAUUGGUAGAUCUCUCCUAAAAGAAGUUAUUUUAAAAUUGCUUCGCAUACUCUAUCGUAGUGUAUGAUCAAGUCACUACCUUUAGGGACCUCAUGGUUUCUAAUACAUGGUAGUUGGUGGCACAAAUAUCCUUACAACUGAAACGACAUCACUCUGUCUUCAUAACCUUUCCAUAUUUGAAUAGAAGAAGAGCCCUUUUCGGGUCCAGAUGGAAACAAGUCAGGUAGGUCGGCCGGCUCAAAGUCCCAGUCGCCGAAGGCCACCAAAAACCGCUUCUCACCAUCUCAAAGUAAGACAACAAUUUAUAGAAUUGAUGAAAUAUAUCAAAAAAGCUUUAAGAAUAUAGUAAUAUCUUACCAGACCUAGCCACUCCACCUCUCGCAGAAGUUCAAAGGAAAUCUCAAGAAACUACAACACUCCACAUAACACUUCACAACUCCUAAAAUAACCUCCCCCUUGCAAGGAAGAACUGUCAGCAAAUUUUCUUACCAUGAAGUUACAACAAACCUAGAAAGGAAACUGGAUUUAAGAGGAGGACAAGUAUAAUUCCCUGUAUGAAGUGAGAGAUUGUUAUAAUAGAUGGGAAGUACCUAAAAAGGAUCCCACAGGUCAGGUUAUCCACCUCGGAGUUUGCUUAGCAAAGAACUCUCCACCCACAGUCACCAUAGCAAGAGAGAACCAACUUUGUGUACGUAGAAUCUCUAGUGGAGAGAAGAAACUCCAUCUCAUGAGGAAACUCAUCUAGAGAACUCUGAUUCUUAUAGAACAUGCAUACUUCUCCUACAGAGAAAUAUCUUUUUAAUGAUAUUUCUACUCUCACCAGCCUCUUGAUUACAUAC